GACGAACGCUGGCGGCGUGCUUAACACAUGCAAGUCGAACGGAAAGGCCCUGCUUUUGUGGGGUGCUCGAGUGGCGAACGGGUGAGUAACACGUGAGUAACCUGCCCUUGACUUUGGGAUAACUUCAGGAAACUGGGGCUAAUACCGGAUAUGAGCUCCUGCUGCAUGGUGGGGGUUGGAAAGUUUCGGCGGUUGGGGAUGGACUCGCGGCUUAUCAGCUUGUUGGUGGGGUAGUGGCUUACCAAGGCUUUGACGGGUAGCCGGCCUGAGAGGGUGACCGGCAACAUUGGGACUGAGAUACGGCCCAGACUCCUACGGGAGGCAGCAGUGGGGAAUAUUGCACAAUGGGCGGAAGCAUGAUGCAGAAAAGCCGCGUGCGGGAUGAAGGCCUUCGGGUUGUAAACCGCUUUCGAAUGUGAAGAAGAGUGAGUGACGGUAAUGGGUAAAGAAGCACCGGCUAACUACGUG
rnacentral:rRNA from 1 species